AGUGCUUUCUUCAGAGCCGAGAGA
rnacentral:siRNA from 1 species